rnacentral:rRNA from 1 species
UACGUAGGGUGCAAGCGUUGUCCGGAAUUAUUGGGCGUAAAGAGCUCGUAGGCGGUUUGUCGCGUCUGCUGUGAAAACCCGAGGCUCAACCUCGGGCCUGCAGUGGGUACGGGCAAACUAGAGUGCGGUAGGGGAGAAUGGAAUUCCUGGUGUAGCGGUGGAAUGCGCAGAUAUCAGGAGGAACACCGAUGGCGAAGGCGGGUCUCUGGGCCGAUACUGACGCUGAGGAGCGAAAGCGUGGGGAGCGAACAGG